CGGGGUGAGUAACGCGUGGAUAACCUGCCUCACACGUGGGGAUAACAGUUAGAAAUGACUGCUAAUACCGCAUAAGCGCACAGUACCGCAUGGUACAGUGUGAAAAACUCCGGUGGUGUGAGAUGGAUCCGCGUCUGAUUAGCCAGUUGGCGGGGUAACGGCCCACCAAAGCGACGAUCAGUAGCCGACCUGAGAGGGUGACCGGCCACAUUGGGACUGAGACACGGCCCAA
rnacentral:rRNA from 1 species